rnacentral:lncRNA from 1 species
UUUGCCUGACCUCAGCCACCUUUUUAGUGCCUCAGCCACCCACAAAACCCACAUAUAGCCCACCUUCAUCCUUUCCCCGCCUCUGUGUCUUCUCUGUAGCUUGCAGUGAACAGGACUCUGAGCCAGGGGCCCGGCUUACCUGCCGCAUCCUCCUCCACCUUUUCAAGACACCUCAACUCAAUCCUUGCCAAUCGGAUGGAAGUAAGUGACUCCAUCCAAGCCAGCCUGCCAAGGAUAGUGUGGCUACCCUACCCCCACCGUUUCUACUUUGGCUUCCCCUGACUUUAGCUCUCUCCACCAGACAAGCCUACUGUAGGAAUCCGCUCCUCCUGUGACCGCACCUGCUGGCUGCCUCCCAGAACCGCAUCGUGGAUGGAGCUGUGUUUGCUGUUCUCAAGGCUGUGUUUUGUACUUGGGGAUGCGGAACUGAAGGGUUCGGGCUUCACUGUGACAGGAGGAGCAGAAGAACUUCCAGAGGAGGAGGGAGGAGGUGGCAGUGGCAGUCGGAGACAGGGUGGCCGCAACAUCUCUGUGGAGACAGCCAGUCUGGAUGUCUAUGCCAAGUACGUGCUACGCAGCAUCUGCCAGCAGGAAUGGGUAGGAGAACGUUGCCUUAAAUCGCUGUGUGAAGACAGCAAUGACCUGCAAGACCCAGUGUUGAGCAGUGCCCAGGCCCAGCGCCUCAUGCAGCUUAUCUGCUACCCACAUCGGCUGCUGGACAACGAGGAUGGGGAAAACCCGCAGCGGCAACGCAUUAAGCGUAUUCUCCAGAACUUGGACCAGUGGACCAUGCGCCAGUCUUCGUUGGAACUACAGCUCAUGAUCAAGCAGACCCCUAACAAUGAGAUGAACUCCCUCUUAGAGAACAUCGCCAAGGCCACAAUCGAGGUUUUCCAACAGUCUGCAGAGACAGGGUCAUCUUCUGGAAAUGCUGCAAGCAACAUGCCCAGCAGCAGCAAGACCAAGCCUGUGCUCAGCUCCCUAGAACGCUCGGGUGUAUGGCUGGUGGCUCCUCUCAUUGCAAACUGCCCACCUCAGUCCGAGGGCAUGUGUUAA